rfam:Ciona savignyi cont_58247, whole genome shotgun sequence.
UACACAUUUAUGACAGUUUGAAUGUAAAGUGUCCGACACCAAUUCAAACUUGAUGCACUGUUGUA